AUGACCAACACAUCAUCGAAUGUCACGGACCCACUUAAGCCACCCCAGAAUUCCCUUGGGACCCUUUGGAAUUUGUCUCUCUUGGGCCUCCACUCCCAAUCCCUAGGCGACCACCAGUCUGCUUCCUGUCACUACAGGUGUUCCAGAACUGAUGUCAGAUUUGGCUCGUCAGAGUCCACAAACCAUAUUGGUGAAGAAGAUGAAUAGGAUUCCUGUUAAGCACAGAGACACCUGUGUUAAACAUUUACAUACAGAUUAACCCAAAUAUGCAAUUAAACCACACCACUAAAUGGCAAGAUGACCAUAGAUUUAAACAAAAUGUAUCAGGGGGAAAAGGCAACACAUUAAAACCCAUGUGAGGAGCUGGACUUUUGAGACAGCCAUUCUCCUGUCUGCUGCUACAGCUCACAGAAGUCAACAAUUUUCUUCAACACUGGUAGGCAGCCUCUAAAUGGCCCCGAUCACCCUCACCUCCUGCCAUUCAUACCCUUGUAAAAUUCCUGCCCCUGGACCUAGUGACUCACUUCUAACAAAGAGAAUGCAGCAAAAGUAAUAACAUCACUUCUGAGAUGAGGCUACAAGGAGACGAUUCCUGCCUUGGUCACCCUUCUCCUGCUCUUUCCAUUGCUCCCUCUGAUGGAAGCCAGUUGCCAUGUGAUGAGUUGCCCUAUGGAGAGGCCCACAUGGCAAGGUAUUGUAAAAGUCCUCUGACCAACAGCCAUCUAGAAAUGGAGGCCCAGUCCAACAGCCUCUGAGAUGAAUCCUGCCAACGUGAGCUUGGAGACGGAUUCUCUCCCUAUUCUGCCUUGGGAUGAUCAUAGCCACCACCAACACCUUCACUGCCUGGUGAGAGGCCAAGCCAGUGAACCCAAGGUAAACUGCACAGAAUCCUGACCCACAGAAACUGUGAGAUAAUGUUUGUGGUUUUAAGCUGCUAAAUUUGUUACAAAGCAAUAGAUAACUAAUUCAAACACCAUAAAAUUAUAAUAUUUUAUUCUAUCACACAAACCAAGUAAUACCAAGAAAUGCCAUUACUACACAUAUAUUUCUGCAACACAAUUACAUGUGAUUUUUUUUGAAAAGCUAAUGAACUAAGCAUUAUGUGCUUUUACCCACUAACAGACAUUUACUCUGUUACUUUGUAUUGUUUUCUAUUAUAAAUUGGGGAGAAGCCAUUAUUAUAUAUUAGCUUCAGAACAACUAGGUU
rnacentral:lncRNA from 1 species